AACGAACGCUGGCGGCAUGCCUAACACAUGCAAGUCGAACGAGACCUUCGGGUCUAGUGGCGCACGGGUGCGUAACGCGUGGGAACCUGCCCUUAGGUUCGGAAUAACUCCCCGAAAGGGGUGCUAAUACCGGAUAAUGUCUUCGGACCAAAGAUUUAUCGCCUUUGGAUGGGCCCGCGUUGGAUUCGCUAGUUGGUAGGGUAAAAGCCUACCAAGGCGACGAUCCAUAGCUGGUCUGAGAGGAUGAUCAGCCACACUGGGACUGAGACACGGCCCAGACUCCUACGGGAGGCAGCAGUGGGGAAUAUUAGACAAUGGGCGAAAGCCUGAUCCAGCAAUGCCGCGUGAGUGAUGAAGGCCUUAGGGUUGUAAAGCUCUUUUACCCGGGAUGAUAAUGACAGUACCGGGAGAAUAAGCGCCGGCUAACUCCGUG
rnacentral:rRNA from 1 species